UGGGGAAUAUUGGACAAUGGGCGAAAGCCUGAUCCAGCCAUGCCGCGUGUGUGAAGAAGGUCUUCGGAUUGUAAAGCACUUUAAGUUGGGAGGAAGGGCUGCAAGUUAAUACCUUGUAGUUUUGACGUUACCAACAGAAUAAGCACCGGCUAACUUCGUGCCAGCAGCCGCGGUAAUACGAAGGGUGCAAGCGUUAAUCGGAAUUACUGGGCGUAAAGCGCGCGUAGGGGGUUUGGUAAGAUGGAUGUGAAAUCCCCGGGCUCAACCUGGGAACUGCAUCCAUAACUGCCUGACUAGAGUACGGUAGAGGGUGGUGGAAUUUCCUGUGUAGCGGUGAAAUGCGUAGAUAUAGGAAGGAACACCAGUGGCGAAGGCGACCACCUGGACUGAUACUGACACUGAGGUGCGAAAGCGUGGGGAGCAAACA
rnacentral:rRNA from 1 species